rnacentral:rRNA from 1 species
UACGUAGGCAGCGAGCGUUGUUCGGAGUUACUGGGCGUAAAGGGUGUGUAGGCGGUUGUUUAAGUUUGGUGUGAAAUCUCCCGGCUCAACUGGGAGGGUGCGCCGAAUACUGAAUGACUCGAGUGCGGGAGAGGAGAGUGGAAUUCCUGGUGUAGCGGUGAAAUGCGUAGAUAUCAGGAGGAACACCGGCGGUGUAGACGGCUCUCUGGACCGUAACUGACGCUGAGACACGAAAAGCGUGGGUAGCAAACAGG